UUUGGAGGGGGUUACAAAUCAGUUCUUAUCAACAUAUAUCAAACAACCAAAUUACAAAGAUUGUUAUGUUCGAAAAAAGUGAGCCUCCAAGAAGUGCGCACUUCUGUAAAGAACAGAACACUGACAUGCGUCUCUGCAGCGUUGAAGUCGAGUACUUCAAAAAGUACAAAGCUCACUGCCAAGUAGUGGGCUGGUUGGGGAUAACAAACUGAAGUCCGUGGGCUUUGGAUGGUAUCUGCAAAACGAUACAAGUUUUCUCAAAGUGACGCACAAGAGUCUCAUCUGGACAAAAAUCCUCCCUAAAUCCUUCAAUAUAAUACAUGUAUAACAG